rnacentral:rRNA from 1 species
ACGUCAGAACCGCUACGAGCCUCCACCAGAGUUUCCUCUGGCUUCGCCCUAUUCAGGCAUAGUUCACCAUCUUUCGGGUCCCAACAUACGUGCUCUUACUCAAAUCCAUCUUAAAAAAUCCAGAUCGGUCGAUGGUGCACCUUGCGGAUCCCACCUCCAUUCACUUUCAUUGCGCGUUCGGGUUUGACACCCAAACACUCGCAAGCAUGUUAGACUCCUUGGUCCGUGUUUCAAGACGGGUCGUUUAAAGCCAUUCCACCAGCAUCCUAAGCACGAAAAGCUCGAAAGCCUUGCAAUAAGCGUGCUGCGAUCCUCAGUCCCCAAAGAUGAAUCCAGCUAGAGGCUAUAACACAACCGAGAUUGCUACCUUCCUCUAACCCUUUUCCACCCCCGAAAACUGAUGCUGGCCUGCAAAUUGAAAAGUACACCUUGCGGCUGAAUUCCAAAUAGCAAGUCUGACUUCAAGCGUUUCCCUUCCAACAAUUUCACGUACUGUUAACUCUCUUUCCAAAGUGCUUUUCAUCUUUCCCUCACGGUACUUGUUCGCUAUCGGUCUCUCGCCAAUAUUUAGCUUUAGAUGGAAUUUACCACCCAAUUUGAGCUGCAUUCCCAAACAACUCGACUCUUCGAAAGUGUAUCACAAAGCACCGGGCAUCCGCAUCAGUUACGGGGCUCUCACCACUAUGACGCUGUAUUCCAACAGACUUGUAUGCGGUCCGGCGCGGAAAACACUUCUCGAGAUUACAACUCGGACACCGAAGGUGCCAGAUUACAAAUUUGAGCUCUUCCCGCUUCACUCGCCGUUACUA